CAGGAUAAAGCCCCAAGUGCCCGCCACUGAAGGAUGGGAUCCUGGCAUGUUUUAAUGUCAUCUGGGGAAUCCAGUGAGGAUGACAAUUCUGAGCAGCAGAAAACCUUUCCAGAGGAAUUCCAAAUCUCUCACGUCCCAGAUCAUUAAGCUAUGUGACAAAAUAGUCCUUGUACUGAAGAGUGGUUGAGUAGCACAAGAAUGGUGGUUUUUUUUGUGCUAACUUUUUCUAAACCACUACUUUGGAAAUGUUUGGAGGAACAAAAUACAGGAGAAAUUCUAGGCAGAACAAUUUGUGGUUCAAAACACCUAGAAAACAGUUUAAAACAAAGUAGGAAGACAUGCAAGGAAGAAAUGCAGUAAACAAUGAGCCAUCAACAAAGCACUGGCUCAGGGUGUGAAAGAGAAUUGCAGAGUUCCAGUCAGAAACAACAGAAGGAAGGACAUAAAAGAAGACAGUAGAAAGAGAAAGCAAGAAUAAAUAUAAGUAAAAUAAUAUUGAAAACACAUUCAGUCACUGAGAGGAUUUUUACUGCAUUCACUGUUUGCUAUGGGGAUCAUUCUGUGUAUUUCAGUACCAGAGAGCAGGAGCUGCAAGGCUUGGCCUGGAUUUUCAGGAUGCUUCCAAGAAAAGCAGUAAAUACACCCCUGGGUCUGCCUGUACCUCAGUUAAUGGCCAUAAUCGACAGCAGUUCCAGCCUGACACCCUGCUGUGCACAAAAGGAGCUGACCCUUUAACCAUCAACACUAAAGCACAAAGCUCAUGUAGCAGCAAGGGGAGGAAAGUUUAAAUUGUCAGCGAGAUGAAGUGCAGCCCAACCUGUCCGUGUAGCACUGGGUCAGGCAGGAUGAAAUUCACAUCCCUUGCAGGGAACUGUGCCUCAGAAUCUACUGUUUAGCAGCACUAAAUUUAUAUUAAAACAUAUAAUCAAAGUGACAGAAAAAUAACUGAAUAAAUAAAUAAAAUAAUAUUUUUCAGCAUGGUUCUCUUGGACAACAGGACUUGUGAAAGAUGUUUUAGCUGUGUGAUUUAUUCCUGGAUAAUUAUGAUUGACACCUAUGG